GCUGGAGUAGCUCAGCCGGCAGAGCAGCGGUUUCGUAAACCGCAGGCCGUGGGUUCGAGUCCCACCUCCAGCUCCA
rnacentral:tRNA from 1 species